GACGAACGCUGGCGGCGUGCCUAAUACAUGCAAGUCGAACGCAGUGGGGACGGGUGAGUAACCCGUGGGUAACCUCCCAUCAGAGGGGAUAACACUUGGAAACAGGUGCUAAACCGAUACUGAUGGAUGAACCCGCGGUGCAUUAGCUAGUUGGUGAGGUAACGGCUCCCCAAGGCCACGAUGCAUAGCCGACCUGGGAGGGUGAUAGGCCACAGUGGGACUGGGAAACGGCCCAGACUCCUACGGGGGGCAGCGGUAGGGAAUCUUCGGCAGUGGACGAAAGUCUGACCGAGCAACGCCGCGUGGGUAAAGAAGGUUUUCGGAUCGUAAACCUCUUUUGUUAGAGAAGCGGUAUCUAACCAGAAAGCCACGGCUAACUACGUGCCAGCAGCGGCGGUAAUU
rnacentral:rRNA from 1 species